GACGUAGGGCGCGAGCGUUGUCCGGAUUUAUUGGGCGUAAAGAGCUCGUAGGCGGCUUGUCGCGUCGAAUGUGAAAACCCAGGGCUCAACCCUGGGCCUGCAUUCGAUACGGGCAGACUAGAGUACGGCAGGGGAGACUGGAAUUCCUGGUGUAGCGGUGAAAUGCGCAGAUAUCAGGAGGAACACCGGUGGCGAAGGCGGGUCUCUGGGCCGUAACUGACGCUGAGGAGCGAAAGCGUGGGGAGCGAACAGG
rnacentral:rRNA from 1 species